rnacentral:rRNA from 1 species
UUGUUUCGCCCUGUUUACCAAAAACAUCGCCUUUAGAAAUAAAUUUAAGGUUCUGCCUGCCCGGUGACAAUAGUUAAACGGCUGCAGUAUUACUGACUGUGCAAAGGUAGCAUAAUCAUUCGCCUGUUAAUUGCAGGCUAGUAUCAACGGCUAGACGACAGAGAGACUGUCUCUCUUUAUUUGACUUGAAAUUAAUUUUAGGGUGAAGAGACCUUAAUUAGUUAGUGGGACAAGAAGACCCUAUAGAGCUUUACCUUAAAAUUAUAGAUUACUAUAAUAAAAGGUUUGGUUGGGGCAACCUCCCCUCUUUUACAACAGGGGAUUAUUAUAAUGAUUUGAGUCUAGUAUAGAUAGACCCAGAAAAUUCUGAGCAAAAGAAAAAGUUACCUUAGGGAUAACAGCGUAAUUCUCUUAAGAGUAC